UCGCUUUGGCAGUGUAGAUCCUAUAAUUGGAAUGAUACAGAGAAGAUUAGCAUGACCCCUAUGCAAGGAUGGGACACCCAAAUUCAUGAAGCAUUCCAUAUUUUU
ensembl:snRNA U6 U6 spliceosomal RNA